AGAGUUUGAUCCUGGCUCAGGACGAACGCUGGCGGCGUGCCUAACACAUGCAAGUCGAACGGAGAUAUGAUUUCGGUUAUAUCUUAGUGGCGAACGGGUGAGUAACGCGUGAGCAACCUGACUCUUAGAGGGGGAUAACACUCGGAAACGGGUGCUAAUACCGCAUAAGACCACGACAUGGCAUCAUGACGAGGUCAAAGGAGCAAUCCGCUGAGAGAGGGGCUCGCGUCCCAUUAGAUAGAUGGCGGGGUAAUGGCCCACCAUGUCAGCGAUGGGUAGCCGAGCUGAGAGGCUGAUCGGCCACACUGGAACUGAGACACGGUCCAGACUCCUACGGGAGGCAGCAGUGGGGAAUAUUGGGCAAUGGGCGCAAGCCUGACCCAGCAACGCCGCGUGAGGGAAGAAGGCUUUCGGGUUGUAAACCUCUGUCCUUGGUGACGAAAAAAAUGACGGUAGCCAAGGAGGAAGCCCCGGCUAACUACGUGCCAGCAGCCGCGGUAAUACGUAGGGGGCGAGCGUUGUCCGGAAUUACUGGGCGUAAAGGGUGCGUAGGUGGCCUUUUAAGUUGGAUGUGAAAUACCCGGGCUUAACCUGGGGGGUGCAUCUAAUACUGGGAGGCUAGAGUGCAGGAGAGGAAAGCGGAAUUCCUAGUGUAGCGGUGAAAUGCGUAGAUAUUAGGAGGAACACCAGUGGCGAAGGCGGCUUUCUGGACUGUAACUGACACUGAGGCACGAAAGCGUGGGGAGCAAACAGGAUUAGAUACCCUGGUAGUCCACGCGGUAAACGAUGAAUACUAGGUG
rnacentral:rRNA from 1 species